rnacentral:lncRNA from 1 species
UAAUUUAGACAUAAUAAAAAGUUCAUUAUGUUAGGAUUGGAUUAGAUUUGUAGUUGAAUCCUACUUGGAUUAGGAUUAAUAUUUAAAAGGUAAAUUGCACUGUUACCCCUUGAACUUUUGAUGGGUUUCACUUUACCCCCUCGAAUUCUUAAAAUGGACGUCUAACAUCCUAAGCUCUAAUAUUUCAUUCAUGUUACCCCUUUUGUCAGUUUUCCGUCAAACUUCGUUAACCAAAAAUUGAUGGAAGGGGUAACACGAAUGAAAUAUUAGAGUUUAGAGUGUUAGAUGUCCAUUUUAGGAGUUCAGGGGGUAAAGUAAAAUUUCACCAAAAGUUUAGGGUUCAUAAUGCAAUUUACCCUAUUUAAAUCUGUUGGAGAUAAAUUAAGAUUUAAAUAUUAAUUAGAGUAGAAAUCUAAUUGGGUUAGAAUUUGUGUAGUUUUUUAUGUAAGCUAUAAAUAUAGCAUACGUGCUAUUAAUGUAGUGGUGGUACGGAUUAGCCACACCCAUAUGG